UCGCACCGCUACUUCUAGAGCACAUGAAAUUAAAGUCAAGAUCUCGUUUAGAACUUACCGCAAACUUCGUUGGAAAAUUCCCAAAUCACCAAUUGAGGAAGAACUAGUCAGAGACUCAAAUUUCCACAAACCCUAAACCACAAAUCAAUUCAUCUCUGUUCUUUCCAUCCGAUUUCCGUCCUUAGUGUUCGAAUUGUUGAUUCUCAAUUUCCAGCUUCUGAUUCUUGUCAUUUUUGCGUGCAAUGAUCCCCCGCCCUGUUCUUCGCAUCUCGGUUUCACUCAAAUUUUAGGUUUCUUCGUUGGUGAUUUCUUUCUUUACUUUUCAUUUCCUUCUGCUGUCUCCAAAUUGAUAUUUAGUUUGUCGAUUAAGUGCGAUUUGAGAGUUAUGAUGGAAAGAAUUUGUCGAUAGCUUUCUGUUUUUGUUUACAAAACGAGUAAAACUAUUGUCACAGAUUUACUGUUUAUGAACAGCUAUUUUAGUAGUUCUAAAGACCUGUUUGGUGCGAUUUCCAGAUUUUUGAAGUUGUUUUUUGCUCAUUAAUGAGAUGUCUUUUAGUAAAACAGUUUGUCAUGUGAACAUUUUAAGGAAAAUACUUUUGCUUAACAUUUUUGGAAGAUUGGGAGAAGUAAUUAUUUAGUGGUUAGAACAUUAAAGUGACUUUAAAGUAUCGUUAUGAUUCUUAAAAUCAUUUUGAAAAGCGUUUUGAAUGAGUUAAGAACAUUUGUUAUUAUUUCAAAAUUCAUAUUAAACUCACUUAAUAUGAAAGAUGAACAGUGUUUCUUGGCUUUUGAAAGAUGAUUUUGAACAUUCUGAAUACUUCUGAUAUACUUAGAAGUGUUUGAGAUUCAAACUUUGAACCUCUUGGUCGAAGAUAUAUAUUUUAUGCUCGUUGAAUUAUGUUCAUGUUGGCAUGUUUGAAGCAGCUUCUUCUAAGAUUACUCAAUUAGAACAAAUGCUUGCUACUCUUAGACAUUAUUCUGAAGUCACUCUCUCCAACUUCGAAAGAUGAAAAUACAGAAUUUCUUAAAUGAACAAUCAGGAUUGAGUUUGUUCUAAAAAGUCAGUCCCUUAGCCAGUCCUCAGGAGCUUAGUGCAUCCUAGGGAUCAUUCACGCAAAAAUGACAUGAAUUAUAGGUCGGUUUAGCAAAGACAUAAUCAUUUUAAGGGAACUAAGGCCAGCGGUCUUCUAUUUCGCGUAUGCAUUUCAUACACAGGCAAAGAACGAUGGAACAAGAUACUUUGGUUGGUGGUGGAUGCUGUGUUUUUGCUCAUUGCCACACCGAAAUGAUGAGACGAGAAAAGAGGUAAAGAGUCUCUACGUCGUUUUAACAUGAUAUGAUGAAAGUUCACCUAGUCGUUUCACCUUUGGAAUCUACGAAGUUCAUUGUAAAAAAGAAAUUGUAUAUUGUUCAAAACCGACUAAAUCGACGUGAAACAAUGUUGACUCUUUUUUAAAACACGUUGGGGAACAAAUAAAACUCUGCUUGAUAACCAAUCAUGUUGUUUUGGUUUUUUUGCUUUUGAAAAUAAGCUUAUGAAUACAAGAAACUUAUGCUCUCUUUUAGGGGUUGCCUCCAAUCAUAUUGAAUGUGUGAUUGGUCACCCGAUUUUAGAAAGUUUCAGCUUGCCCAGGGGAGUUGUUUAUGGAAAGAACUUGCAAUCCUACCCUACUUGAAAAAACAGAGAAAAAAAGGUAAUCACCUUUUAUCUGAUAUUAUCCUAUUUAUUACAUCACCGAAGUUAGGUGUAAUUUGUUUUAUUUAAAUUUAUGUUAUUUAUUUUCUGCCACAUUGUUUUAAUGACUCUAUAUUAAACGGGUUAGCCCAUGUUCUCGUUAUGAAUUAUUAUAAAUGGACCCUGAUUUUAAUAGAAACUAAGGUCAUUACAGUUGGUACCAAAAACCUACCUCAACUAGGGUCAUUACAGUUACUCGAGCUUUUGGUUUACAAAUUUUGUAGACUAGUCUACAAAGUAGGCUCAUAAUGCUUCCAUGACCCCUUUUGAUGCACCGUCGUUGUUAGGUAUACCUAAGGCUCAAGACGUUUUCAUGAACAUACCUUACGGCAACGGUGCAUCAGUUGUGGGGUCAUGGAAAUAUCUUGAGUCUAUCUCGUAGGGUAGUCUACAAAAUUUAUAGACCUAGACUUCGUAAUGAUCCUAAUUUCCUAUUAAAGUCAAGGUCUCCACUUUAUAUAUAACAUCUCUAGAACUCUUUUCACACGUGUUUGUGGGAUUCUAUAAGAUAUAAUUAUUUUGAUGCAACAUGGAGUAUACAGAGUCUGUCCUCCAAAGAAAUAUUUUAUUGUGCAAAACAUAACGUAGCUAAACAAUAUGUUCAUAUUACUUGCAAAAAUGAUGCCAAAAACUCUCCCCGGCUUUCAAACAACUCUUGAGCCAAUCACUCACAAACCUUAGCCGUUGUCUUGUUCUUCCUCUUUAUCAUCAUCUUCUCCUUCUUUAAAACGCUGCCGCCGUGCACCGCUUGCAUCGUCCUGUGCCACCAUCGCUCAUGCUGUACUCACCGCCACUGCACGUCGGAUGACCACCGCCAGUUGUCGUUGCGCAUCCGACAGCCACGGCCAAUCACCCACGUCGCUGUCGUCGGAACCACUAUUUGAAGGAGUAAACGUUGGGAUUGGACCCAACCAUUCGAUGCAAAGCGAAGAACCUUACCAGGGCUUGACAUGCCGCGAAUCCUCUGGAAAGAGGGGUGCCAUCGAGAAGGCAGACACAAGUGGCGCAUGGGUGUCAGCUCUUGCUGUAAGGUGUUGGGUUAAGUCCCGCAACGAGCACAACUCUAUAUUUAGUUGCCAAACGUUGAGGUUGGAACCCUGAAUAGACUACUAGUUAAAAGGCAGGAGACGACGUCAAGUCAUCCUGCCUCUAUUCACCCUAUUUUAGAAAGUUUGAGGGUUUUGUAGUUGUUUGUAUGUAUGGAAAGAACUAGCAAUCCUAACCCAUUUGAAAAAACAGAAUCACUUUU